CAUGCGCGUCCUCGAUACCAUCAAGGAGUUGGGCCGGGUCACUUAUGGCGUCAUGGUCUAAUUACCGGGAUAGUUUCACAAAGUAGACGAUCUCAGAUAGGCAUUGUUGGAGCGCCGUUGUUCCGUGCUCGCCUACAAGCGCGCUCUCGUCUUACGGAACAUACGGCCAUUCCUGCUUGAUCGCCGUGUUCAAGUGUCCGAGUCGGCUUGUAAAGGUGGCUUGAGAAUAAUAGUCUGAGUGGUUCUGUUCCAUACAUCAUUUGGCAAAUCAUGAAUUUUAUGGCAAUAAAAGUCUGAUCUUGUUAGACCUUAUUGAAGGUUUAUUUGAAGCUUUUACCUUGACUCAAAAAGUUUUGGAAUCAAUUCUAUGUGAACCACUUUGACAAGAUGUUAUGUAUGCAUUCAUAUUUGAAGCUUAGAGACAAUAAGACAAUUAUAGGUUAGAAGAUCCUGUGUGUUAGUUUCAUUCAUUUUGCUAGGAGUCACUGCUCAUAUCUUAUACUUUUUUUCUCCAAUGAUCGAGUGGUCUUCUUCAUGGAUUUAGAUGCUGUUCUCAUACCAAUUUUGAUAAUCUAUCAGAUUGUUAUCAGCCAAUACCACCCGAUGUUAUUGAAAAAAAUGAUUUAUCCACGGCAGUAAAAACUAUAUGCUUCAUCAUUGUUACUUAGAUGGAGAGGAAUCACCUGAUGUAAUAGUCAAGCCUUUUGGAGGUCACAAGGUAAUUUUCUUUAUAGUAUGUAUACCCAUGAAGUGCAACUAGCACUGAACCAAAAUCUAUUGACAUCGUCCAAUAAACAUACGAUGUAAUAUAAAUGUUUAGAACAUGAAUUUUAACACUAGCUUUUGUUACUGUGGGUGUUCAAUGCUGAAAUAUCAAAGAAAAUGACAAUAUAUUUACA